GGUUGUGGACGAGCGGGGAAAAGCGCAGGCGAUCGUUUCCAUGCGCAACCUGCUUGAAGAAAAGGUCCGGGAACUCCACCAGCAGCUCGAUUCGCUGGAGUCGUACAUCACCGCAGACGGCAUCGGCGGAUAACUACUCAACAGAGGAAAAAUGCGGCAUCUGACUGUUCGGUCUGUGAUUCUUGUGCUGGCCAUCACGGUUCUGCCGUGGAGUAUUGCGGCGUUUGGUCAGUUUGGCGGAGGCAGGCCUCAAGGGCAGGGCGGCGGUUAUGCAAGUGGGAUGACCGGCGGAGAAUGCCUCCUCGCUGGCGUUCGAAUGGGAGGAAACGGAUCGCAAGAUACUUCAGAACCCAGG
rnacentral:misc_RNA from 1 species